GACGAACGCUGGCGGCGUGCUUAACACAUGCCAGUCGAACGGAAAGGCCCUGCUUUUGUGGGGUGCUCGAGUGGCGAACGGGUGAGUAACACGUGAGUAACCUGCCCUUGACUUUGGGAUAACUUCAGGAAACUGGGGCUAAUACCGGAUAGGAGCUCCUGCUGCAUGGUGGGGGUUGGAAAGUUUCGGCGGUUGGGGAUGGACUCGCGGCUUAUCAGCUUGUUGGUGGGGUAGUGGCUUACCAAGGCUUUGACGGGUAGCCGGCCUGAGAGGGUGACCGGCCAGAUUGGGACUGAGAUGCGGCCCAGACUCCUACGGGAGGCAGCAGUGGGGAAUAUUGCACAAUGGGCGGAAGCCUGAUGCAGCAACGCCGCGUGCGGGAUGACGGCCUUCGGGCUGUAAACCGCUUUCGCCUGUGACGAAGCGUGAGUGACGGUAAUGGGUAAAGAAGCACCGGCUAACUACGUG
rnacentral:rRNA from 1 species